rnacentral:rRNA from 1 species
AGUAGUGUAUCCGUGGCUACGAUGAACGCUGGCGGCGUGCCUAAUACAUGCAAGUCGAUCGCACUACUCGGUAGUGAGAGGCGAACGGGUGAGUAACACGUAGGUAACAUAUCUAUAUGACGAGGAUAACGGUUGGAAACGACUGCUAAGACUGGAUAGGAGUAGAGGAGGCAUCUCUUUUACUUUAAAGGACUUUUCGGAGUACGCGUAUGGAGUGACCUGCGGCGCAUUAGUUAGUUGGUGGGGUAGUGGCCUACCAAGACGAUGAUGCGUAGCCGGACUGAGAGGUUGAACGGCCACAUUGGGACUGAGACACGGCCCAGACUCCUACGGGAGGCAGCAGUAGGGAAUUUUCGGCAAUGGGGGGAACCCUGACCGAGCAAACCGCCGCGUGAAUGACGAAGUACUUCGGUAUGUAAAGUUCUUUUAUUAAGGAAGAAAGUGCAGUGGAAAAACUGUAUAGACGGUACUUAUUGAAUAAGCCCCGGCUAACUAUGUGCCAGCCGCUGC